AAUUGCUUCUACAAAAGCCACUGUAGAAUAUCAAAAAGAAGCUAUAGGGUAUUGAGAGAAAAUCUUAGAAGAAAUCAACAAGCCCAAGAUACCUCAAUUGUACUAGAAGUUAAUGAUUCUAAACCUUCCAAUAAACCCCUCACAUGUGGGGGUGGCAAUGGCAUUGUACAAAGCACAAAAGCUCUUAUUUUGAAAAGUGAAAAUGUAAGACUAAAAAAGGAAAUUUCUAAAUUGAAGCAGCAAAAUGAACAGCUAAUACACCAAAAGAAUGAACCAUUAAGCAAUAAUCAUCAUCUUUCCAAUGAGGCUCUCAAAGAUGUAACUUGUGAGAAUUCUCCAAAGACUCCAAAAAGAACAGCUUCUGAAAAGAGACACCGACCACCUUCUCAGUGCAAGGAGCAGAAUUUACAAGAUCCUGUGCCAAAGGAAUCACCAAAAUCUCGGUUUUUUGA